rnacentral:rRNA from 1 species
UGCAAGUCGAGCGGAGAGAGGUAGCUUGCUACUGAACUUAGCGGCGGACGGGUGAGUAAUGCUUAGGAAUCUGCCUAUUAGUGGGGGACAACAUUUCGAAAGGAAUGCUAAUACCGCAUACGUCCUACGGGAGAAAGCAGGGGAUCUUCGGACCUUGCGCUAAUAGAUGAGCCUAAGUCGGAUUAGCUAGUUGGUGGGGUAAAGGCCUACCAAGGCGACGAUCUGUAGCGGGUCUGAGAGGAUGAUCCGCCACACUGGGACUGAGACACGGCCCAGACUCCUACGGGAGGCAGCAGUGGGGAAUAUUGGACAAUGGGCGGAAGCCUGAUCCAGCCAUGCCGCGUGUGUGAAGAAGGCCUUAUGGUUGUAAAGCACUUUAAGCGAGGAGGAGGCUACUUUAGUUAAUACCUAGAGAUAGUGGACGUUACUCGCAGAAUAAGCACCGGCUAACUCUGUGCCAGCAGCCGCGGUAAUACAGAGGGUGCAAGCGUUAAUCGGAUUUACUGGGCGUAAAGCGCGCGUAGGCGGCUAAUUAAGUCAAAUGUGAAAUCCCCGAGCUUAACUUGGGAAUUGCAUUCGAUACUGGUUAGCUAGAGUGUGGGAGAGGAUGGUAGAAUUCCAGGUGUAGCGGUGAAAUGCGUAGAGAUCUGGAGGAAUACCGAUGGCGAAGGCAGCCAUCUGGCCUAACACUGACGCUGAGGUGCGAAAGCAUGGGGAGCAAACAGGAUUAGAUACCCUGGUAGUCCAUGCCGUAAACGAUGUCUACUAGCCGUUGGGGCCUUUGAGGCUUUAGUGGCGCAGCUAACGCGAUAAGUAGACCGCCUGGGGAGUACGGUCGCAAGACUAAAACUCAAAUGAAUUGACGGGGGCCCGCACAAGCGGUGGAGCAUGUGGUUUAAUUCGAUGCAACGCGAAGAACCUUACCUGGCCUUGACAUAGUAAGAACUUUCCAAAGAUGGAUUGGUGCCUUCGGGAACUUACAUACAGGUGCUGCAUGGCUGUCGUCAGCUCGUGUCCUGAAAUGUUGGGUUAAGUCCCGCAACGAGCGCACCCUUUUCCUUAUUUGCCAGCGAGUAAUGUCGGGAACUUU